rnacentral:rRNA from 1 species
UACGAAGGGGGGCUAGCGUUGCUCGGAAUCACUGGGCGUAAAGCGCACGUAGGCGGAUUGCUAAGUCAGGGGUGAAAUCCUGGAGCUCAACUCCAGAACUGCCCUUGAUACUGGAGGUCUUCGAGUCCGGGAGAGGUGAGUGGAACUGCGAGUGUAGAGGUGAAAUUCGUAGAUAUUCGCAAGAACACCAGUGGCGAAGGCGGCUCACUGGCCCGGUACUGACGCUGAGGUGCGAAAGCGUGGGGAGCAAACAGG